AUUGAACGCUGGCGGCAUGCCUUACACAUGCAAGUCGAACGGCAGCGGGGGAGAAGCUUGCUUUUCCUGCCGGCGAGUGGCGAACGGGUGAGUAAUACAUCGGAACGUGCCCUGUAGUGGGGGGAUAACUAGUCGAAAGAUUAGCUAAUACCGCAUACGACCUGAGGGUGAAAGUGGGGGACCGCAAGGCCUCAUGCUAUAGGAGCGGCCGAUGUCUGAUUAGCUAGUUGGUGGGGUAAAGGCCUACCAAGGCGACGAUCAGUAGCUGGUCUGAGAGGACGAUCAGCCACACUGGGACUGAGACACGGCCCAGACUCCUACGGGAGGCAGCAGUGGGGAAUUUUGGACAACGGGCGAAAGCCUGAUCCAGCAAUGCCGCGUGUGUGAAGAAGGCCUUCGGGUUGUAAAGCACUUUUGUCCGGAAAGAAAUGGCUCUGGUUAAUACCUGGGGUCGAUGACGGUACCGGAAGAAUAAGGACCGGCUAACUACGUGCCAGCCGCCGCAGUAA
rnacentral:rRNA from 1 species